rnacentral:tRNA from 1 species
GAAUGUAGCGUAGUUAGGUAGCGCGUCUAUUUUGAGAAUAGAAAGCCAUCAGUUCAAAUCCUAUCGCGCA